UGUUAGUUUGCGUAAGCGGUUGCAGCGGUAUCCUUUUUUAUUAAAUAAACGAAGCUUGUGACGUUUAUUUAGUAAAAAAGAUAUAGCGGAAGACGCGACCUACU
rnacentral:sRNA from 1 species